rnacentral:lncRNA from 1 species
AAAAAAAAUCAUACAGAGCAAAAAUCUGGAGUAAAGGCCUGGUUCUCUGUGGUGGAAUUGGCCUCUGUCUGGGAGUGGUAGGAGCUUCUUAGCGUAAAUAUUUAUAUAUCAUGUACAAAAUGUCAGGCAUUAUCUUAAACACAUUACACAUGAUCACCUCUUACAGUAGCCUUAUUUUGCAAAUAAAAAAUUGAGGCACGGGGUGAGUGUGAAGUCAGUAGCAAGUCAUUUAAGGUAUUACAGAGGUGUAUUAUAAGGUUCAAAGUCAAUCGCUCGGGCUGUAGAGCCCUUAUACAAAGAAAUAACAUAAAAAAAUUCACGUUGUACCUCAUGCCUUUCUGAGUAAUGUGAUAUCAUCCAACUACAACCCAGUCUGGACAUAAAUCAUAUGUUUUUGCAGUAUGUCUACACUCUUAUGUACUACCACCACUAAGUCACGUCAUAAUUAUUUCACUGAUCAGUUCCCCUGUCCUGGUUGUUGUACUCAUUAUGUAGAGAAGUAUUAAUGGAAAUGAGUGACACAAAACUCAGGGGGAUCAACAUAGUCUAGUAUUAGCUGGAUACACCAGACAUAUAGGGCUUGUAGAAAAAGGCUUAUAGUCAGGGUUCAACACUCGCUGUUUCAUGCAUCCAGUGGAGUCCUCGGAAUGUAUCCUUUGAGGAUAAGUGAGCAGUAUUGUGUACUACAUUUAGACAUGACCCUCUAAAACAAGCAUUUCAUUUAAAAGCUUAUGGUGCAGAUGCCUGUGUUGUGCCCAUAGCUUUCAGGCGGUUAAACCCACUGCACUGUUUCAUAGACAUUUUUAUUUUAAUAGUGUGGGUGUUGAGACAGGGUCUCAGGUUUUCCUUCUACUCUAUAUAGUCUAGACUUGCCUCAAACUUUUCUAAUCUCAUCUUCAUACCCUGAGCACCAAGAUUCAUGGCAUAUGCCACCAUACCCAGUUCCCCCCAUCCUCCUCCUCUUCCACUUCCUCCUCCUCCUCUUUCCUCUUCUUGCUCUUUUUGUAAUGGUAAGUAUUGCAUGGUACUAGUUAUCCUCUAAGGGCAAUUUAAGAGCCAAGAAAAAUGGUAACAAAUGAGCAAUUCAAUUGAGAACAUAAAUUUCUCUUCAAAGCUCUAGAGCUUGGGUAGCUCCAACUCAAAUACUGUUGCCAAACCUCCCUUUGGCUAACUUUCCAGAAGAAACCUGUCUCUCUGGGCACAGCAUCAGGAUUUGUCCAAUGACAAGCUCAUUUCCCUGCAAGGUCUCCCAGGGCCUCCUGGGGUCUGGAAUCUUGCUGCUGCCAGGAAGCUACAUGGUGCAGUCAGCCUAUAUUUAAUCACACUGAAAACCUGAUUUCCAACUUCAGGCAAACUGAAAAAGGCAGCACAAAAUUCUCAGUUUGCAGCCAGUUGUCUCUGCUGAUGUCACAUCUGCAGCCAGGGAUUUUUGUAAAAAACAGGGAAAGAGCCAUAGCUCUGGGCAAAGGUGAACGACCUUCUGGGUGGGUGCACUUCUGUUGAAACGGUGUGUGGCUGCCAAUUCAGAGGCAGUCAAAUGACCUUCCUGGGUUUGUUUUGUUUUGUUUCCAGAGAACAAAAGUCACGAAGCUUCAAGUGGGAAAUUCAUUACUCAUAAACAAGGGUGUGAUUUUCAUGCCCAUUUAACUUUCUGGUUUCAAGUAAAUAAAUAAAUAAAUAAAUGCAUAGAUACACAAAUAUUAUUAAAUAAUGUCGGGAGGAGUUUAUAGUUCCUCAAGAAUCAGAACUUCUCUUUGUCCACGACACAAUGAUGGCAAUAAGUAUAGCAAUGAAAUCGUUCCUCACCCCCUCCUUCUGUCUCACCACACCCUUUACUGCUCUCCUGAUCCAAGGGCAUGGUUGGUCAUUCGCAUCUUCUCAUGGCCAUCAAGGAGUGGGGGUUUUAGUUGCUGGCAGGGAGAAGGUGCUUCAAAGUGUCACCCAGAGAAAAAGGGUCUCAGUGUCAUUAACAAAGCUCCGAAGGGCACCCCUCAGCUUUGCUGCAGCUCUCCAGUGUUGUAUCUUCUUGGCUCUCCAUUUUAUUCACCCUUUCCUGAGAUGUUUCCCUUUAACACCAGCUUUCUUUCUGUCUAGAUUUGUCUUGGCUCUUGUUUUCUUCACACAGUAUGAUUUUUUUCCUCAUGUUUAAAGAUGCCUUUCCCUGCCUCCUUACAAGUCUUUGGAUUUUUCAGGGCUCUACCUCCAGACAAAAUAAAACAUACACACAGUGUUCUCAGUUUUUGUUUGUGUGUGUGUGUUUUAUUUGUUUGUUUGUUUGAUUGGCUUUUUUUAAAGACUCGGAACUGGCAACUCCAAAUUUUUAUCACUUUCAAACCAAAGUUUUGACC